ensembl:processed_transcript 1810019D21Rik RIKEN cDNA 1810019D21 gene
ACUUCUGCCGAGGCGUGCGCUCGCCGGCUGGAGUCCCACCUCUUGCUGCAGUCCGGCGAGACUCCUGGGACGAAUCCAUUCUUUCUCCUACUUCCUCUCUAGCAGGCACUCUGAGUCCUCCGCAAAAGAAUGUGCAGGAUCAGAGGCCUCUUUCCAUUCUGCAAGGGUCACGCAAGACCCAUGGAAUUCAACAGGAGGCAAUCUAGGGACUAUAAAAGGUCGCGACGUCUGGCUUGAGGUUAAUGGAAGUUACAAAGGGUCAAAAGCCGACAGUGAGCGCUACCAGGCCGCCCUGUGGGCUCAGGAUAGUUUCCCACCUACUCGACUGUAAUUAGUACUCUGGCGAGAGUAAAAAGGUACUGGCGUGGGACUUAGAAUACAGGAUGCCACCGGCUGAAGAAGAACCUUGUGUGUUUGGAAAAGCGGGCUGCUUCCUAUCGGUCUUGGAUAAAAGGCAACCCAGAGCCCGGGUGCAUCCCUAACUCAUGCCCAAGGAAGGUCGUGCGGAGCCAGAGGACCUAGAAUGUAUAGUGCGCCUUCUGGGUUUGUCCACACAAUAGCGCAGGAACACAGCGACCCAAUAUAGUGAGAAGUGGCCGCAGCGCACACCCUGAGACCCUUCACCAGGCGGCCCACCCGGAGCCUGCCUACUCAGCCCCGCUACCACGAUAAGCCUGGAAUGUCAAAUAUUUGUUCUAGGAACCCAGUGAAACCUUGAGGUAAAGCCCCUCCCCUCCUCCCUCCCAUUCCGGAGCGCGCCUGCGUCAGUCCAGGCUUUCCGGUAAGGACACUCCCUUCCAACUAGUUCCUUCUCGACACCCCUGCAACCCAUCGUCCUGACUAUUUAAACUUCACAAGGUCUUCGCUACAGGCUCAGGUUCAGUGAGGCAGAGUCUUGGCUUCCCUACCCAGUUAUCCCAGAGCUACUGGUAUCGGUUUCUACCCACAACCUCCGAGCAAGGCUCCCCUUUCAACCUGUAGACC